GCCAUCUCCUCCCAUUCAGUUCAAAAAACCGAGAAGAGGAGAGAUGGGGGCGGUGAACGGAUACACAGCGACGGGGAGACAGAAGGCCCUCAGAGUGACCAGCCAGGCGUGGGCCCCUAACAUCAGUCACCAUAAGUGUAGCUUUCAGCAGGGACCCCGAUAAGUCACGGCCUCUGCUCUCCAUCUGAAUGGCGUCACCUGGAGGCAUGAUUGACACCGUGGCUUAUCAAUCCGCCUGUCAACAGAGGCAAUGCUUGAUUGAAGUUGUAUUCCCUCUGGUGGGAAGGUUGGAAGAAAAAUGGAUAUGUAUGUAAUCUGUAGUGUGGUAAAUAUUGAUUUUAUUUUUGUUAUUUAUACUCUCCAACAGGAAUCAAUUCAACAAGAUCAUGUAAACAGUUAUUAUAUUCAGCGCAUCACAGUGUCACUGCUUGGGUGGGGAGAAAGAA